AUUGAACGCUGGCGGCAUGCCUUACACAUGCAAGUCGAACGGCAGCACGGGAGCUUGCUCCUGGUGGCGAGUGGCGAACGGGUGAGUAAUACAUCGGAACGUGCCCUGAAGUGGGGGAUAACGUAGCGAAAGUUACGCUAAUACCGCAUAUUCUGUGAGCAGGAAAAGCAGGGGCUCGUAAGACCUUGUGCUUUAGGAGCGGCCGAUGUCGGAUUAGCUAGUUGGUGGGUAAAGGCUACCAAGGCGACGAUCCGUAGCGGGUCUGAGAGGAUGAUCGCCACACUGAACUGAGACACGGUCCAGACUCCUAC
rnacentral:rRNA from 1 species